rnacentral:lncRNA from 1 species
GGAAAACAUCAGCUUUGAACUCAAAUUAUAUGUUGAGUUGGCAUGCGUCUGCAUCGGGAGACAAUGGAAGGGUGCGCCUUUGGGGGUGAGGUCAAACUAUUGGCUGGUUGCAGCACCUGCUGUGGCUAUAGAGACUGAUGUGGGGGAGACAUGUUUCGUUGCAGCUGGGGCAGAUGAAGGCACCUGGUUGUGCUGGUGCAGAUGAACCAUGGCAUUUCUUCUCCCAGAGGUCAUUCCUCCUCUGGUCACUGCUACGGAUACACAACUUGACUUCCUGUUGCCAGGCACUACGGUCGUCUGCAAGGGACUUCCACAUGGCAAGGGUCAUGUUGCCAGCCUUCAUGUCAUGUUUGCAGACAUCUCAGGGUUACAGGUUUGUUCACUUGAUUACUUCCCGGGAGAAACGUGGUUCUUUUGCACGUAUCGCUGAGGAUCAUCACUGAGAGUGAUGCAGGGAGCUUUGCAGCCUCUCAUCCGCCACUAAGACUUGCAGGUUAGUUUCUUUUGCUUUCUCGAUGGGAGAACGUAGCAAUCGUGGAAAGAGCUAGCACAACAGAUUCAUAAAACCCACUGAAGACGGACAGCAACAGUUAUGAGCAUGGUGCUGAUAAUACACCAUAUAACACCGGUCCUGAAAGAUCUACAUUGGCUCCCAGUACGUUUCCAACAACUAGGUUUUAGAUACUGGCAGGUGAGUGUCAGAGGCAAGGAAAAGGACAUUGUGCCAUCUUAAGUCAAUGUAGGCCAUGAGGCAACUUACCUGUCAAACAUAGUAACAAAAUGCUCCAGAUCUAAGCCUCUGCAUGUCAGGAUAGAAAACAAAUCAAUCCACAGAAAUACCAUCUAAUGGAUAGCAUUGCUCAACAGCAGGAAGGCUCUAAAUAUGAGAUGGUUGGGACUGGGACUCUAGAAAGCCGCCUUAUACUUGGCCAGUCUAUCUGCAAAUCCUCAGGCCAGAAUGAUCUACUCCAGGGAUGAGAAACCUAUGGGCAUCCGGCUGUUGCUGAACUACAGCUCCCAUUGUCCCAGACUAUUGGUAGUUUGGGGCGAUGAAAGUUGUAGUUCAAAAACCUCUGGAGGACCACAGGUUCCUGAUCACUGGCUUCCUCUGGCUCUCCAGGAUCUUGGACUGGUAUUCGCCAUCACCCAUUAACUCAUCCCUUUUAGUUGCAGAUGCCAGGGACUGAGCCUGGGACCUUCUGCAUGCAGCACACGUAUCAUUGAAAUACAGUCCUUCUAAACAGAGAUGGCAUGAACAUGUUCCCAUGAUUCAGUUGCCUGAAAGGCUCCUGCUGCUCACAUCUUCCUGUUAUAGAACUAAAGAUUCAUACUUACACAUGGGGAAGGUCUUUCACCUGAUGAUGUUGCUUAUGUCCAUAGAAGAGGCCCAUAGAAGCAAUGCUUCCUUGGCAGAAUCUCACUACACUUAAAAAGUUACAGAACAACAGAAGCAGAUUAUUUAGGACAGGGGUGGCUAACCUGGUGUCCCCCAGGUUAGUUGUUGCUGGACUACAAUUCCCAUCAUCCUUGACCAUCAGCCAGGCUGGUCGGGGCUCAUGGGAAUUGGAGAGUGCAACUUAAAUUGUGUAACUAAUGUCUCAGUGACUGGAUAAGGUGACCUGCCAAAAUAUCUCCCUCAAACAGGCCAAGAGUCCACACGAAUCAGAUGUGAAAAUUGUAAUGAAAAUCUGCCUUGCCCGGGCAUUUCCCUUCAAGAUAGCCGAUUUCUCUACUUCUCCAUCAUGUCCAAGUGGAGAGGUCACAUCUCCCCUCAAAUAAACAAACUGAGGAAAGCUUGCCUUCUAGCUAGGAAGCUGGAGAACUUUGACAGUAGUUAACAUUUUGACAGUUUCCCCUCUCCCAAAGUAUUAAGCUCACUUCCCUGAAGCUUUUUCUCUUUGCACCUGGCUGACCCAGAGGCCUGUCCCUCAAAGUGAUCUUCACACAAAAGAUUAUGGAUAUUGAAAUGUUCCCUGUAUUCCUUUGUCCCUUAUCCUACAACCAACUCCGAGGCAGCCAAUGUUAGAGAUAACCAUAAGAGUAACUUUAGAUUGCCUUGUAUACGGUUACAGAGGCCAACAUUCUGGCCUGGUGGGGGGUUUGCCCUGCCGGACUUAAAAUUGUAUUAUGAGGCAGCAGCUU